AUUGAACGCUGGCGGCAUGCCUCACACAUGCAAGUCGAACGGUAACAGGUCUUCGGAUGCUGACGAGUGGCGAACGGGUGAGUAAUACAUCGGAACGUGCCUAGUAGUGGGGGAUAACUACUCGAAAGAGUGGCUAAUACCGCAUGAGAUCUACGGAUGAAAGCAGGGGAUCGCAAGACCUUGUGCUACUAGAGCGGCCGAUGGCAGAUUAGGUAGUUGGUGGGAUAAAAGCUUACCAAGCCGACGAUCUGUAGCUGGUCUGAGAGGACGAUCAGCCACACGGGGACUGAGACACGGCCCAGGCUCCUACGGGAGGCAGCAGUGGGGAAUUUUGGACAAUGGGCGCAAGCCUGAUCCAGCAAUGCCGCGUGCAGGAUGAAGGCCUUCGGGUUGUAAACUGCUUUUGUACGGAACGAAAAGCCCUGGGUUAAUACCCUGGGGUCAUGACGGUACCGUAAGAAUAAGCACCGGCUAACUACGUGCCAGCCGCCGCCGUAACAC
rnacentral:rRNA from 1 species